AGACACUUUGCACACUUAAUCCAACAGUCAGUUCAUGGAAAUGGUGAUUGAAGCUUAUUAUACAGACAUUUUUAAAUGAAAAUAUCUGGAGAAUAUCAAAACAGAUGUCCUGUAUCUACAGUGUAGGCUACUCCUCCACAGUGUCUAGCUUAUGUUAGCAUAGCCAGGUAGCAAUGAAUAAUGUGCUAUUAUAUGGAAAAAGUUUGUUUGGAGUGAUGCAACAACUCAUUAAAACCGAAGAGCUCAGAAACUGGACGUCCCAACUUCGGCUGCAGGUCACUGAGAGUCAGGCACACCUGAAAAGAUAAGUGGACUGUGGAGUGGAUGCAAAGUGGCUGUCCUGUGUUGGGAAGGUGUUAGCCGGGGCAGGUCACAUGACCCCGAAGUGGCCCACGGUUCGAAGCAGCGUCUCUCUGUUUCUCUGUGAUCGCAGCUGAGAGAUGGCGAAGGGUUUAUGGCGGCCUGCAGUCAGCCCUGGGGUGGAUACCGCCGCCAUCUCUGUGGCAGUGUUUCUCCUCUCUGCUCCCCAGCCCUGAAAUGUGCACGGAGCUCACGCACCUGGCUUGUUUCCCAUAAGCCUUUGCUUUGUUUCAUAUCGUUUUCAGCUGCAUGUGGGUGCAGGCAAGAGAAACUUCAAAUCGAAAUGGAUUACAGUCUUAUUUCAGCGCUUUGGAUUAAAAACAGAGGUGCGCAUAUCAUCAAUAUACCUUCAAUAACAUUCGAUACAUUUCGGAAUUUUCUGCACCCAAAGCCAAAUAUUUUCGGCAUGUUGUCCUCCUCACUGAAGAGUUUGGUGUGUCGGACUUGUCAGCACGUUUCGCCGAUCUCACCAACGAAGGCAAAAUACUGGAAUGUUUGAAACUUUCGGCCUCGUCUGAAUGAAAAACAUUGAGUGUGGAUCCUUUCUGAACGGCAAACGAAUGUGUCCGCUCUGUACUUUUCCACUCAACGUUUUCUGGUGUUUAUUCGCAGGGAAAGCGUUAUACCACAGAGCUCUCUUAGCAUUCUAAUGCCCGGGGGGUGGGGGCACCUGGCAUUGUGACAUCAUAGAAGAGGAGGGGGGUUAAUAAAAACAUGGAGGAGUGACUGUGCACUGUAAGCACACUCAACGACAGUCGUUGGUUUUGGUAAUUAGCUAGGGAGGGUCCCGAAUCUCCUCUCGCAAAUAGUUAUUUUGGCAGGCCCCAAUUAAAUCAAACAUCUGAUUAAACUUACCACAUCAAGUGUAUGGGACAGAGAGACAUGGCU